rnacentral:rRNA from 1 species
GCAUAUCAAUAAGCGGAGGAAAAGAAACCAACAGGGAUUGCCCCAGUAACGGCGAGUGAAGCGGCAACAGCUCAAAUUUGAAAUCUGGCCCCUCGGGCCCGAGUUGUAAUUUGUAGAGGAUGCUUUUGGCAAGGUGCCGCCCGAGUUCCCUGGAACGGGACGCCACAGAGGGUGAGAGCCCCGUCUGGCUGGCCGCCGAGCCUCUGUAAAGCUCCUUCGACGAGUCGAGUAGUUUGGGAAUGCUGCUCAAAAUGGGAGGUAUAUGUCUUCUAAAGCUAAAUAUUGGCCAGAGACCGAUAGCGCACAAGUAGAGUGAUCGAAAGAUGAAAAGCACUUUGAAAAGAGGGUUAAACAGUACGUGAAAUUGUUGAAAGGGAAGCGCUCAUGACCAGACUUGGGCUUGGCGGAUCAUCCGGCGUUCUCGCCGGUGCACUUCGCCUCGCCCAGGCCAGCAUCAGUUCGCGCCGGGGGACAAAAGCUUCGGGAAUGUGGCUCCUCCGGGAGUGUUAUAGCCCGUUGCAUAAUACCCUGGUGCGGACUGAGGUCCGCGCAUCUGCAAGGAUGCUGGCGUAAUGGUCAUCAGCGACCCGUCUUGAAACACGGACCAAGGAGUCGUCUUCGUAUGCGAGUGUUCGGGUGUUAAACCCCUACGCGUAAUGAAAGUGAACGCAGGUGAGAGCUUCGGCGCAUCAUCGACCGAUCCUGAUGUUCUCGGAUGGAUUUGAGUAAGAGCAUACGGGGCCGGACCCGAAAGAAGGUGAACUAUGCCUGUAUAGGGUGAAGCCAGAGGAAACUCUGGUGGAGGCUCGCAGCGGUUCUGACGUGCAAAUCGAUCGUCAAAUAUGGGCAUGGGGGCGAAAGACUAAUCGAACCUUCUAGUAGCUGGUUUCCG